rnacentral:rRNA from 1 species
AUAGGGUUUCCCNUUNGGGGACANAGUNACAGGUGGNNCAUGGUUGUCGNCAGCUCGUGUCGUAAAAUGUUGGGUUAAGUCCCNCAACGAGCGCAACCCUUNAUCUUAGUUGCCAGCAUUCAGUUGGGCACUCUAAGGUGACUGCCGGUGACAAACCGNAGGAAGGUGGGNAUGACGUCAAAUCAUCAUGCCCCUUAUGACCUGGGCUACACACGUGCUACAAUGGACAGAACAAAGGGCUGCGAGACCGCAAGGUUUAGCCAAUCCCACAAAUCUGNUGCUACAGUUCGGAUCGCANUACUGCAACUCGACUGCGUGAAGCUGGAAUCGGUAGUAACCGCGGANACAGCGNGACCG